rnacentral:rRNA from 1 species
AGAUUGAACGCUGGCGGCAUGCCUAACACAUGCAAGUCGAACGGGAGUAGCAAUACUCUAGUGGCGGACGGGUGAGGAAUACGUAGGAAUUUGCCCUUAAGUGGGGGAUAACCCGGGGAAACCCGGAUUAAUACCGCAUGACCUCGAAAGAGCAAAGUGGGGGAUCGCAAGACCUCACGCUUUUGGAGAAGCCUACGUCGGAUUAGCUAGUUGGUGAGGUAAUGGCUCACCAAGGCGACGAUCCGUAACUGGUCUGAGAGGAUGAUCAGUCACACCGGAACUGAGACACGGUCCAGACCUACCGU